CAGAAAAUAGUUUAAGUUGAAAAUACCAGCUUUGGGAGUUGGUGAUGGAGGUUUGAGUCCUCUUUUUCUGA
rnacentral:tRNA from 1 species